rnacentral:rRNA from 1 species
UACGGAGGGUGCGAGCGUUAAUCGGAAUUACUGGGCGUAAAGCGCACGUAGGCGGUCGGAUAAGUCGGAUGUGAAAGCCCUGGGCUUAACCUGGGAACUGCAUUCGAUACUGUCUGGCUAGAGUAUGGGAGAGGGAAGCAGAAUUUCCGGUGUAGCGGUGAAAUGCGUAGAUAUCGGAAGGAAUACCAAUGGCGAAGGCAGCUUCCUGGCCCAAUACUGACGCUCAGGUGCGAAAGCGUGGGGAUCAAAC